rnacentral:rRNA from 1 species
GAUGAACGCUGGCGGCGUGCCUAAUACAUGCAAGUCGAGCGAACAGACGAGGAGCUUGCUCCUCUGACGUUAGCGGCGGACGGGUGAGUAACACGUGGAUAACCUACCUAUAAGACUGGGAUAACUUCGGGAAACCGGGGCUAAUACCGGAUAAUAUAUUGAACCGCAUGGUUCAAUAGUGAAAGACGGUUUUGCUGUCACUUAUAGAUGGAUCCGCGCCGCAUUAGCUAGUUGGCAAGGUAACGGCUUACCAAGGCAACGAUGCGUAGCCGACCUGAGAGGGUGAUCGGCCACACUGGAACUGAGACACGGUCCAGACUCCUACGGGAGGCAGCAGUAGGGAAUCUUCCGCAAUGGGCGAAAGCCUGACGGAGCAACGCCGCGUGAGUGAUGAAGGUCUUCGGAUCGUAAAACUCUGUUAUUAGGGAAGAACAAAUGUGUAAGUAACUAUGCACGUCUUGACGGUACCUAAUCAGAAAGCCACGGCUAACUACGUG